GGCAAGAUGGCCGAGCGGUCUAAGGCGCUAGCUUAAGGUACCAAUCACAUCCACGAUGGACAUUCGCUAGUCCGAAAGGGCGUGGGUUCGAAUCCCACUCUUGUCA
rnacentral:tRNA from 1 species